GCGUUGUUAGACCGUAGGGGUAGCGGGAAAGACUGUAAAUCUUUUGCUCAAAAGGCUCGGGUGGUUCAACUCCAUCACAACGCACCA
rnacentral:tRNA from 1 species